AUGCCGUAAUCGCUGAAUUCCCGGAUCCGGGAAACGGGGGAACCUAGAGUUGGCUGACAACUGCCUUGGGGUGAAUCAUGAUUUCUUUCAUGAAGGGCUACUCUCAGUCCGAAUCCGACAGCUAACCUCGUAAGCGUUCAGAGAGACCUA
rnacentral:sRNA from 2 species